CUCAUACUGUGAAACUGCGGACGGCUCAGUAAAUCAGUCAUCGUUUAUUUGAUAGUACCUUACUACAUGGAUAACCGUGGUAAUUCUAGAGCUAAUACAUGCUAAAGGCCCCGACUUCGGGAGGGGUGUGUUUAUUAGAUAAAAGACCAAUGCCCUCCGGGGCUCCUUGGUGAUUCACAAUAACUUAACGGAUCGCAUGGCCUUGUGCCGGCGAUGGUUCAUUCAAAUCUCUGCCCUAUCAACUUUCGACGGUAGGAUAGGGGCCUACCGUGGUAUCAACGGGUAACGGGGAAUUAGGGUUCGAUUCCGGAGAGUUAGCCUGAGAGAUCGCUAACACAUCCAAGGAAGGCAGCAGGCGCGCAAAUUACCCAAUCCCGACACGGGGAGGUAGUGACAAUACAUACUGAUACAGGGCUCUUUUGGGUCUUGUAAUUGGAAUGAGUACAAUUUAAACCCCUUAACGAGGAACAAUUGGAGGGCAAGUCUGGUGCCAGCAGCCGCGGUAAUUCCAGCUCCAAUAGCGUAUAUUAAAGUUGUUGCAGUUAAAACGUUCGUAGUUGAACCUUGGGCCUGGCUGGCCGGUCCGCCUCACCGCGUGCACUGGUUCGGCCGGGCCUUUCCUCCUGGGGAACCCCAUGCCCUUCACUGGGCGUGUGGGGGAGCCAGGACUUUUACCUUGAAAAAAUUAGAGUGUUCAAAGCAGGCCUUCGCUCGAAUACAUUAGCAUGGAAUAAUGGAAUAGGACGGCGGUCCUAUUUUGUUGGUUUCUAGAACCGCCGUAAUGAUUAAUAGGGACAGUCGGGGGCGUCCGUAUUCAAUUGUCAGAGGUGAAAUUCUUGGAUUCAUUGAAGACGAACUACUGCGAAAGCAUUCGCCAAGGAUGUUUUCAUUAAUCAGAUCG
rnacentral:rRNA from 1 species